CACGUAGGCACCAAGCGUUGUCCGGAUUUAUUGGGCGUAAAGAGCUCGUAGGCGGUUCAGUAAGUCAGGUGUGAAAUCUUUGGGCUUAACCCAAAGCGUGCACUUGAUACUGCUGUGACUUGAGUUCGGUAGGGGAGUGGGGAAUUCCUAGUGUAGCGGUGAAAUGCGCAGAUAUUAGGAGGAACACCGAUGGCGAAGGCAGGUCUCUGGGCAUUAACUGACGCUGAGGAGCGAAAGCAUGGGGAGCGAACAGG
rnacentral:rRNA from 1 species